CAGUCGCCGCGGUAAUACGUAGGGUGCGAGCGUUAAUCGGAAUUACUGGGCGUAAAGCGUGCGCAGGCGGUUGUGUAAGACAGGUGUGAAAUCCCCGGGCUUAACCUGGGAACUGCGCUUGUGACUGCACAGCUAGAGUAUGGCAGAGGGGGGUGGAAUUCCACGUGUAGCAGUGAAAUGCGUAGAGAUGUGGAGGAACACCGAUGGCGAAGGCAGCCCCCUGGGCCAAUACUGACGCUCAUGAACGAAAGCGUGGGGAGCAAACAGGAUUAGAUACCCGCGUAGUCCCUGUCUCUUAUAC
rnacentral:rRNA from 1 species